AGCGAACGCUGGCGGCAGGCCUAACACAUGCAAGUCGAACGAAGUCUUCGGACUUAGUGGCGGACGGGUGAGUAACACGUGGGAACGUACCUUUUGGUUCGGAACAACUCAGGGAAACUUGAGCUAAUACCGGAUGAGCCCUUAGGGGGAAAGAUUUAUCGCCGAAAGAGCGGCCCGCGUUAGAUUAGCUAGUUGGUGACGUAAAGGCUCACCAAGGCUACGAUCUAUAGCUGGUCUGAGAGGAUGAUCAGCCACACUGGGACUGAGACACGGCCCAGCCUCCUACGGGAGGCAGCAGUGGGGAAUCUUGCGCAAUGGGCGAAAGCCUGACGCAGCCAUGCCGCGUGAAUGAUGAAGGUCUUAGGAUUGUAAAAUUCUUUUACCAGGGACGAUAAUGACGGUACCUGGAGAAAAAGCCCCGGCUAACUUCGUGCCAGCCGCCGCAGUAAAAC
rnacentral:rRNA from 1 species